rnacentral:rRNA from 1 species
UUCCUACGGGGGGCUGCAGUGGGGAAUAUUGGACAAUGGGGGCAACCCUGAUCCAGCAAUACCACGUGUGUGAAGAAGGCCUUAGGGUUGUAAAGCACUUUAGUCACUGAGGAAGGUUAUUAGGUUAAGAGCUAGAUAACUUGACGUUAGGUGAAGAAUAAGCACCGGCAAACUCCGUGCCAGCAGCCGCGGUAAUACGGAGGGUGCGAGCGUUAAUCGGAAUUACUGGGCGUAAAGGGUUCGUAGGUGGUUGAAUAAGUCAGAUGUGAAAGCCCUGUGCUUAACCUGGGAGGUGCAUAUGAUACUGUUUGACUAGAGUUUACUAGAGGAUUGGGGAAUUUCCGGUGUAGCGGUGAAAUGCGUAGAGAUCGGGAGGAACAUCGAUGGCGAAGGCAACAAUCUGGGGUUAAACUGACACUGAGGGACGAAAGCGUGGGGAUCAAACAGGAUUAGAUACCCUAGUAGUCU